CCUACGGGUGGCAGCAGUGAGGAAUAUUGGUCAAUGGGCGCGAGCCUGAACCAGCCAAGUAGCGUGAAGGAUGACUGCCCUACGGGUUGUAACCUUCUUUUAUAAAGGAAUAAAGUGAGGCACGUGUGCCUUUUUGUAGGUGCUUUAUGAAUAAGGUUCGGUUAACUCCUUGCCAGCAGCCGCGGUAAUAGGGAGGUCCGGGGCUUUAUCCGGUUUUAUGGGGUUUAAAGGAGCGUAGAUGGGUUGUUAAGUCAGCUGUGAAAGUUUGCGGCUCAACCGUAAAAUUGCAAUUGAUACUGGCAGUCUUGAGUACAGUUGAGGUAGGCGGAAUUCGUGGUGUAGCGGUGAAAUGCUUAGAUAUCACGAAGAACUCCGAUUGCGAAGGCAGCUUACUAAACUGCCACUGACAUUGAUGCUCGAAAGUGUGGGUAUCAAACAGGAUUAGAUACCCGAGUAGUC
rnacentral:rRNA from 1 species